GAUGAACGCUGGCGGCGUGCCUAAUACAUGCAAGUCGAGCGAACGGACGAGAAGCUUGCUUCUCUGAUGUUAGCGGCGGACGGGUGAGUAACACGUGGAUAACCUACCUAUAAGACUGGGAUAACUUCGGGAAACCGGAGCUAAUACCGGAUAAUAUUUUGAACCGCAUGGUUCAAAAGUGAAAGACGGUCUUGCUGUCACUUAUAGAUGGAUCCGCGCUGCAUUAGCUAGUUGGUAAGGUAACGGCUUACCAAGGCAACGAUGCAUAGCCGACCUGAGAGGGGGAUCGGCCACACGGGAACGGAGACACGGUCCAGACUCCUACGGGAGGCAGCAGUAGGGAAUCUUCCGCAAGGGGCGAAAGCCUGACGGAGCAACGCCGCGUGAGUGAUGAAGGUCUUCGGAUCGUAAAACUCUGUUAUUAGGGAAGAACAUAUGUGUAAGUAACUGUGCACAUCUUGACGGUACCUAAUCAGAAAGCCACGGCUAACUACGUG
rnacentral:rRNA from 1 species